GGCUGUCAGGACUGGCCCAGAACAACUCCACACCCACGUGGCUGCACCUAUGCGCACGACAGGACCAUGCAUGCCUCCUGCCCCUGAGAUCCGCCCACUGCUGCUUCUGGAAGAGGUGUGGCAUGACGUACACAGGAAGGACAGAGCCACCAGCUUUCCCGGGGCCAGCAGGCUGCUUGGCUUGUGUUUGCUCGGUCGACUGUCUGGAGCUGGAUCUGGAUACUUCUCAAAGGGGAGGAAGGACUGCAGAUGCUGGGUGAGAAGAGCCAAAUGACAGAUGUCCAUCAGGGUAGGAGAAGCUGUGACAGGCUGAGGCCCAGGAGCCAGGAUGGACACAAGCAGAGUGGCCAGUGGCAGCUGUGUGUGUCUGCUGCAGGAAAGCUGAGAUGUUGAUCUACUCCUGAAAGGGCCCCCAGCAUUGGAUUGGGCUGCUUUCCUUACCUUUUCAGCCAGCACGCGGUUCUCCAGGCCGAAGAGCUCCCUUCUUGUCCUUCCUGCUGUCUGUUGUCUGGAGUGCUGUCAAAGCCAAAAGUGUGCUGAUCUGAAUAUGAUGUUCCUGACCCCUGCAGUCUGGUUGGGACCUGCUUUUCUAUAGAUUUUAGUUUGUUUUUCUUUUUUUUUUUUUUGGUACCAGGGAUCGAACUUGGGACCUUGUGCUUACGAGGCAGGCAGCGGAACCACUGAGCUAAAUCCGGGGCCCUCUAUAGAUCCUAGUACAAAGAGAUCUGCAGCAGGGUGCAUGUUGAGGGAGCAGCCAAACUUUCUGCACUGAUGCAGUGUGAUAACAAGUGGGACCAUGACCCAGGCCUGCUCAGGUGGGCAAAGCACAGGCUCCCCACCAGGAAAAGGGAGAGAUGUUAACGCUGGCUCUUAUCAUCACAUCUGGGAAAAGAGGUCCAGGAAAACAAGGCUUCAUCACAUGGACCUUUGAGCUUUACAGUCAGGCUUCCUGAAUGCUGCAGAUGCCCUGGGAAAAAUGGCAGACUUUCAGUUUGGGUCCUGGUGCAGAGGACACAUGUCCUUUACUAUUUUUCUAGGCAGAUAUGUCCUUUGAGGUUUCGGAUGGAGUGGGAGGUGCAAAUGCAGUGUGGCAUGUUGCUUAUGGUAAAGCUAAGUUGGGUUUCCUCCUGGACAGCCGUCCAGGACCCAAUCUGCCUCAUCCCUGGCAGAGCCCUCCUUGUGACGAUGCUGGACCUCCUCCCGAUUGUGGCUCCUGCUGGCAGAGUUGGAAAAGCAGAUGGGGCUCUGACUGCUCAGGAGGAGCCAUGGACGAGGGGUUCGGGCGGCUUACAGCCUGGCUCCACAGGGAGCACAUCCCGACGCUGCCUGCCACCUGGGUAGUGUGUGCCUGGUAAACAUUUGGCUGUCCCAGGAUGACAAUGAAGCAGAUGCUGACCCUCCACACUGUGUGACACAAGCCACUUCCCAUAGGUGGGUGCACAUGAGACUCGGUGGCCCUGGUGGCUUCCUUGCUGGCUCUCAAAAACCAGGUGUCUGGUUGACUUCUAAAAAGCAGGGGCUGGGUCAGAUGGUGGGGGGAAGACAGGGGACCCAGGAGCUGGCUGGGGACACAGGCCAGCAGAUGACUCCAUUUAUGCAAAAGUACACGAGCGCCACUCCCUUGAGACCAGAGCCAGGCAGUGUGUGAGGAAGACACUCUGGCAGCCAGCCUGCACCCUAACUGGAGCCACAGCUGCACGGUGACAACUAAGCCAAGGUAGCCUGGAAGUUGUGAGUCCUUGGCCCAAACCUGGCGUUCACAUGAGCUCUGGGCUCCUCAACCUUUUGUGACAUAGGUGGCACAGGAGCAGAUGUCACCCCAGAGGGCAUUUCCGAUCUUGGAAGGACCUGUGUCACUGGGGACUCCUCAGACAGCAGCAGAACCCUGUCCCACCAUCUACACUGUCCCGUCUACCCUGUUGUCCCUCUGCCUGCAUCGAAGAAGUGGUUCAGCGGGGAUCUGGACAGUCAGCCCUUUGGACAUCUUCCUUGUAGAAAUUCUGCAUCUCCACUACACAUACCACACACAUCUCUACCCUCCCUCCAUGUAUCAGUGUGUACAUGUAUUUAUACAAACAUGUAGGUGACCCCGGUCCCAAGCCCCACAACUGGAGUUGCCACCUGUAGCCGGCUUGACAAUGAUGAUGAUAACAGGGGACGGAUGGACACAUGGAACGGAUGUAGCUCUAGCAGACAGAGGAGCCCAGAACCUCCGGCUCACCUCGCUUUUAUUCACCCAAACAUGGGCACAAGUAAUCAAGCAGGUGGCAUUUUUGUUCAAUGAUUUUAUUCGUAGCUGCCUGCGCUCAUCAACUGUGACAUAUUAAUCAUGCAAAUUAGGAUAUUAUUAAUGAAGGAAAAAUUAAUCCUGCCACUGUGUCUGGUCUGUGGUGACAGCUUUGUUAAUACCCUCUCACUGCGUAAUACAGUCAGCAGCUUCUCCCGGCCACUGCAAGUGGGCACAUUAACAUCCAGGGAAAAGGUCAUGGAUCGAAGCUUAGGAGCAACAGGGCCAGUAUCACAAGCUCACACUCAUUGGCGCAUGUGUUUUCAGGACAGACUUGUGCAAUCCUGACCUCCUUCCCACUGAGUAAACUGUUGGUAGUGCAAGGGGACUGGCACCACUUCAAGACUUCUCCAGGGAAUCUCACUGAAUACAGUGCCAGCCCCCAGUUCCCAGCAGGGAGCAGCACGCCUGGGUCCCCUCACAACAUCCGUGUCCCAGCCGCUGGGUUCCCAAGUUUGCAGACAAUGUGAAGCAGCCUUCCUUGGCCAGUGCACCUUCUCCUCUGGCCUCUCUUCUGGGAUGGGAGCUGGCUGGCCUCAAGGUUUGUCUUUAUGGCUCUGGAGACAGGCGGGAACUAUAAUGUAGCCCACGCCCACUUCCCACGCUGUCCUCUCUGGAUGCUGGCUCUCCCUGCACCCUACCUGGAGCAGUGAUCAGCUUCCAGUCUGUGCCAAGACCCGAGACACGCUGCUUUGGGGCCUUAGGUGAAUCACCCUAUGUGGAGGGCAGGGCCCCCUGGAAAGAUUGCCAAGUCGCCCCACCUUGGCCACGGAACCUGGCUGGACCAAAAGGAGACGGCUGGAGGCACACGGGGGACUGACAGGACCUGUGGAGGACAGUGUUCGCCUCGGCCGCCGUGGACCUGAGUGGGAGGUCGGCGCCUGGGGCUCUCUGAGCCUGCUCGAGCCUUGCUCCUCUCCAUGCCUUGGGGCCACAGAAGGAGGGGAGUUUCUAAGUGACCUGCUGUCUGGAGACCUGGCCCUUCUUCCCAUCGCCGUCAUUACUGCCAUUGCUGUCCUCCUGUCCCCAAGAUGCCCCAGGCCUCGGUCCUUCUCCAUGACCUCGCACAGAUGGAGACUCUCGUGAUUCUUCUCUCCCGGGGUUGACCCCACCCGCCUCCCUUCCAAGCCCCUCCCCUGGGCUGCUCCCUUCUGAGCCCAGUGGCAGGUGGGGGUGAGACCUGCCCAAGCCUGAGAGGGAGGGGACAGUUGGGGAAGUAGAGAAGGGACUGCAAAAUGCCACGCCCCAGGCAGCUCAGAUGGCUCCUCCUGCUGCAGAAACCAUGUGGGUCUGGGCGCUCUGGUCACCUACACCCCAGAGCACUUCUGAUGGGUGAGGUGGGGACCAGAGUUGGGGAAUCUUGCAGCUGGCCUCUCACAGGAGGGUUUGGAGACACCCAAGAGAUUCUGACAGACUCCCGAGUUGCCGAUUGAUUAUUUUUUGGGGACAGGGCUUUGCUAUGUAACCCAGGUUGACCUUGAACUCUCAGCAAUCUUUCUGCCUCAGCCUCCUGAGUGCUGGGAUUACAGAUAAACCCCACCAUGCCCACUGCUGCUCUACUUAAAGAAGUCACAGCAUGGCAACUUUACCUGUUUGCACCUGGGGGAAACUUUGUACUAGUGAGGACUCUUCUUCAGCUGAGGCUCAGGGCCAAGACUUUCUGAGCUCCUGGUUGGAUUUGCUUGGGGCUGCUCCCAGGGGCCAUGGGCCCGCAUCUCCCUCUUAUAUGACACGGGGUGAUAUGGAGUCAUGGGUGCUCCUGACAGCUGGGCAGCCAUCAGGGACUGGACCUUCCCAGGCUCCUGCCUCUAUCCCCUGGUGGCCCUCGGUCCCCUCCACCUGGCUGCUGCAUGAGCCACACGAACACAGCUAGAAACCGGAGGGCUUGUGCUUCUACCCUGUUGUGGGUCAAUGUGAUCCUGACUUCCUGGCCAGAGGGGGCGAUCCACGGUGCUGUGUGGCACGGAAACUUGAUCCUCACGGGGAGGGCACCUGGCAGCCUCACUGGUCAGGGAGGGGAGAGUCCCGGGAGGGGACGCGUCGCUUUCCUUCUUGGGUUUCAGAGACGCAGGGCAGGCCAGGGGUGAGCCCUGAACCUCUGUCCUGGGUGGGGGUCUGUCUCAGCUCAGAACCCUCCUUUGGAAUAGCACGGGCAUUUUUUCAGUUUUCAUUGUUGCUAGUCCACGUUUGCAGUACAUGUCGGUCACAUUCCCAGGGCAGGUUGGUGCAUGGACCUAACACACCUCGGUUCUUUUUACUUCCCCUUCUCUGCCUCCACCCUUUCUCCAUUCCCAUUUGCAAAAGAUCUUUCUCCCUGUUUCCUGUUAUCUAUCUUUGAUUUUGCUCCUUGAUUUAUUUAUACUUCAGGUUUCUCUUAUAAGAAAAACCAUUCAGUAUUGAAGCUUGUGUGUCUGAUUAUUUCACUUAACCUAUGGUCUCAGGUGCAUCCAUUUUCCUACAAAUGACUCAAGCUUAUUCGUCUUUAUGGCAGAGUAGUCCUCUGUUGAGUAUAAAGACAUGGUCUUUACCCAUUCAUCUGUUGAUGGACGUACAGGCUAGCUAUUAUGAGCUGUGCUGCUAGAAACAUGAGUAUCCAUGUAUCACUGCAAUAUGAUGUCUUUAGCUCCUUUGAGACAACACCUAGAAUGGGAAUUGCUGAGUCACAUGGAAUUGCUAGUUUUACUUAGCAUAGUUUUUUAUUUGUUUGGUUAAUUAUUUUUGCCCUGGGGGGUCCUUGACUUUUCCUCCCUGCUCAUAGGUGAAGUUCUGGGUAGAACUUGAAUCUGAUGGGCCUUGCAUCCAUGGCUGCCCCUGUUCUUUACAACCUCUCUCCAAGGCGUGACUCCAGAGCAAGGGGGUCAGUCUGGCUGCAGGGUCAGCUCGGAGGUGCAGGGUGAUGGGGAGAUUCUUGCUUCUCUCUCGCUUGCUCUGACUCUGCAGACACCAAGCAGGUUGCAGGACCAUGCUCCAGAGAAUGGAAGGGAAGUUGCUCAGGCCUUGGGGAGAGGGAGGCACGCACCCGAGUGCCUUUUCUGCC
ensembl:lncRNA